rnacentral:rRNA from 1 species
UACGUAGGUGGCGAGCGUUGUCCGGAUUUACUGGGCGUAAAGAGCGCGCAGGCGGCUGGUCAAGUCCGAUGUGAAAGCUCCCGGCUUAACUGGGAAAUUGCAUCGGAAACUGAUCGGCUGGAAGGUGGGAGAGGGUAGCGGAAUUCCCGGUGUAGUGGUGAAAUGCGCAGAUAUCAGGAGGAACACCAAUUGCGAAGGCAGCUCGCUGGGACGUUACUGACGCUGAGACGCGAAAGCGUGGGGGAGCAAACAGG